rnacentral:lncRNA from 10 species
UGGGUCUCUCUUGAUGCCCCUUAUGUGUCUAUCAAGGUCCCUCCCACUUAACAUGUCACUCAGCCAAGGAUGCACUCUUCCAGCUCUAGGUGGCCAGAGACCAGGGUAACAGGACAAUUCCCCCCACCCAACUACAUUUCAUGGUUCAGACGACAGACUUAAUGGCUAUAGAAUUUUCCUAAAGUGUGGUUCAUGGACCACUGGGGGGGUCCCUAAAGGUAUACAAGUGGUCCAUAGGAAACCUCUAAGGAAAAAAAGGAUGGAAUUGCUCUACUCAUAAAUCUGAAAUGCAAAAUUGAUUAAUUGAUUAAGAUUCUUGCAACAAUCCCAUCUUGUACAUUUAUCUAUCUAUCUAUCUAUCUAUCUAUUUAUUUCAGAGACAAGUUCUCACUCUGUCCCUCAGGCUGGAGUGGCAUGGUUCAUGGAAUUCCAAAACAAUUGCAAUAGUAACAUCAAAGACCACUGAUCACAGAUCAUCAUAACAAGCACUUUGGGAGGCUGAAGCGUGUGGAUCACGGGUGGAUCAAGAGAUAGAGACCAUCCUGGCCAACAGGGUGAAACCCCGUAUCUACUAAAAAUAUAAAAAUUAGCCGGGCUUGGUGGCAGAUUCCUGUAAUCCCAGCUACUCGGGAGGCUGAGGCAGGAGAAUCACUUAAACCAGGGAGGUGGAGGUUGCAGUGAGCCGAGAUUGUGCCACCACACUCCAGCUGGUGACAAAGUGAGACUCCAUCUCAAAAAAAAAAAAA